rfam:Erinaceus europaeus unplaced genomic scaffold scaffold00652, whole genome shotgun sequence
AUCCUUUUGUAGUUCAUAAGUGUGAUGAUUGAGCCUUCACAUGGCUACGUAAGAUGUGCCACCCUUAAUAAACCUUGUUACGAUGUCGGCACAUUACCUGUCUGACA